rnacentral:lncRNA from 1 species
GGGAAAGAGUUGAAAAUUAAUGCUGAAUCAAAUACUGUCACACAGAUUAGUAGAGGCAUCUUCACAGUCAGUCUCCAAUGCCUUUCUCUUUGCUGUGAACACUGAAUAAUAAUUAUUUUAUGAAGGUAGUGCAUUGUAAAUAUUUAUAAACAGAAAUGUAAAACAGUGAGACCACAGUGAAUAAAUUAUUUUGAAAUAUUUUAAAAUCCAGUUUUUAUAUGCUUUUUAGUAAAAAUUAUUCAUGGUGAUCAAUAUUUCUUUCUCACUUGCCAUCUGCUCUGCUUCUUUGGCUGUGCAGUUCUAGGUGAAUGAUGCACUGUGCUGUAUAAUGCACUCCACAAAUUUAUUGACUCGGAUGCAGCAUUUUUACGAAGAGCAUGCAAACAUGUAAUCACUGAACAUAAGUCUUCUGGGGUAGGUAAUUGCCAAUUCUUUCCCAUCCCAAGGAACAAUCAGGUAAUCAUUAGGCUUGCCACACAGAUGUCUGUCUCCUCUCGUCGUGCAGGUGGCAGUCAGUAGUUUCUCUAUCAGAAGGUGGAAGCAACUCACUCCACAUUUUCCUACAGUGUAACUGGUCAGAAGAAUUGUAUCCUGCAUGUUGCAGGAAAUUUUGAUAUUUUCCUGUUGCAUCUGUUUGUGAAGAAACCCCGUUUUCCUGCAAUUCCACUUUAAUUGAUUUCUCAGCAGCCAGUUUUGCACUACUGAAUCACCCCACCUGAAAGCCUCAGAAUAGGGUCUUUGGGCUGGAACAAUGGCACUUAGGUGGUUUGGCCACCUCUUCCUUAAUCUGAAAGCAGAUGUCUGUAGCCAGUUAAUAAUCUGUGACUCUUGUACUUUCCUUUCGUUAUCUGGCUUGGAGGAUUUGCUUUAAUGAGGUUUAUGUGUUUUGCUGGUUUGUUGGAUACACUUUUCAUUCCCUCAAGCAAACCAUUGUAGCCUUCAUUAUCAUUAUUACUAUUUUCUUUCUGCAUGUCAUUGGGCUAGUUAUUAAUACUCAAGGAAUUUUCUUAAAUCUGGUAAAAUAACAGCAAUAUAGUGAUGGGGACUGUCUUGAGGACAGAUGAGGAUCAAGGGUUCUUAAUGCUGCCUCUCCUGUGAAGCCAUCCUUGAUUUUCUUAAUAGCCCUGUCCAGAGUUGAAAUUAAUAGCCCUCUCCAGAGGGCUCCCUCCAAAGUUGCUUCCAUAAUUGCAGAUUUUUCCUUUGUUGCUUUCUUUUAUGAGCCUGCCCUGUGUAAGUUGUCUUCAUGAUUGUUUCCCUCCUGGAUGGCAGAGUCUUCAGAGACAGGAAUUGUUAUUCAUCUUUGCUUCCCUCCACAGAACACAGAACAUGUGCUUGUUAAUUACUUGUUAAAUUGGAGAUUGUCACAUUUUCUAGACUAAAUGCCCUCAGCACCCUCGUUUCACCAGUCAAGGAUCGUUGGGUGGCAAGAGUAGAAAUUCACAUCGAUUCUCUUUGGGCAAAGGCAGGCAUUUAUUUGGAGAAUACAGGUGUGUCCCUCAGAGCUAACGCUGGGAAGUAGAUCCAGCCAGGAUGCAGGUUGGGAGAGGGACUGUUAUGUGAAAGUCCUAGGUACCCUGAUUCACUGUCUAUUUAUCUCUUGAAGUGAUUGAUGGUGCGGCUGUGCCAUGAUCUCAGCCUCUGAGAGUUGGUCUCUGUUUUUGGAUCUUUUUCCCUUCCUGGAUCACUAGAGCCUAUAAUGGUCUUGCUCUUCUUUCUGCUCUUGGAGGAAUGCACAGUUCAUUCAUCUCACAUCUACUUGGGCUGAUUCCUACCCUGCUCUGCAACUUCCUGUGCUGCUCUGAGGUUUGUCUUCUGCGUUGCAGCUUCUGUUUGUUCAUGUGCUUUCAUGUGCCCUGAAUGGCCCUCCCUCAUCUUUAUUUGUCCAUCAGGGCUCAGCUUAAGUGUCACCUCCUUAAGAGCCCCUUUAUUGUGCGAAGUCUCCCCUUCCCCUCCAAGAUGCUAUUUCACAGUCAGUUAUUUCAUAUUCCUUUUCUUAAGGUGCAAUUACAUAUGUAUAUGCUUGUUUACUUGUUCAUUGCCUUUUUCCCCUGCUAGAAGGCAAGCUCUUGAAGGCUAAGGCCAUCUCCACCUUGUUGACCUUGGAUCCCAGUGUUUGGCCUGCAGUGGGAGUGCUGUAAAUGUCCAAGGUUCAGUUGUCUGGCUGUCAUAUAUCUCUCAGGGCUAUGACACAGCCUCUUCCAGGACAACUGAAACCGAACCCUGCAUUAGCCCACCUGUAUCAGGGUGAUAAAUUCCCUGUUUGUGUAGUCAACUGCCCUGCCAUGAACGUAGUACUCUGUAAUGUGCAUAAUAUAAUCAUUUAGCUUUUGGGCUGGUUUUUCUGCAUCAUUUGAUAAAGUCAUAAACUUAAGUUAUGAAGUCAACUCUAUAGAGAUUAUGUCUAAGUAAAACAGAUCAAUGGGAUUUGUCUCAGGAACAAGAAAUUUAAUAUACUUCAUUUGACAGCCAACUAGAGUCAUUGUUUUUGCUUCCCAAAUGCGAGACUAAUCGUCCAGAUAUGAUGGGGGAGGUGUUCUUUUUGUUGUUGUCAUUGCAUGUGUGUGUUUUGUUUUUUGGCUUUUUUUUAUGUGCAAGAUAAGCAGUUUUGUCCCCCUUGCUACUGGAUCAGAGAAUGAGAUGGUUUUGGUCUGUUUCUUUUGGCAGUAAGAAAUAAUGUCUUGGUAGUGGGACUUGGGACAUAUCACGCAUUCUGACUAGUGUCUCCCAAACUUAGGCACCCCAGCUUCUACAAUUGUACAAUUAAGGGCAUACUAUAGACUGGAUUCAAAUCCCAUCCCUUCACUGAUUAACUUUAUUAUAUUGGGCACAUUAUUUAUUCUGUUAACUUGCAUUCUUUCGUUUAUAAGAUAGGGAUAAAAUAAUACAGUCUGUGCAGGAAUAUAGGUAAAGUUUCAUUCAGAUGAUAUGUACUGUCAACACAAAGCCAAACAGACAGUUGAGUAUUUAUAAACUUGGGCAUCAUCUUCAUUAGCGGCAGCAUCUUCACAUCUUCAUCAUUUUCAUCUCUCCAAGAGAGCCUUAAAAGGAGGCACAGGUGAAUCAUUCUAUGGAAUGAUUGGUCAGUGGGAACCUGCUGUAAAGCACAGAGAACUCUAUCCAGUAUGCUGUAAUCAUCUUUAUGGGAAGAGAAUCUGAAAGAGAAUGGUUGUGUGUACAUGUAUGACUGAAUCACUUUGUUGUGCAACAGAAAUUAUCACAACAUUGGAAGUCAACUAUACUUCAAUAAAACUUUAAAAAA